UUGAUCCUGGCUCAGAGCGAACGCUGGCGGCAGGCCUAACACAUGCAAGUCGAACGGACCCUUCGGGGUUAGUGGCGGACGGGUGAGUAACACGUGGGAACGUGCCUUUAGGUUCGGAAUAGCUCCUGGAAACGGGUGGUAAUGCCGAAUGUGCCCUUCGGGGGAAAGAUUUAUCGCCUUUAGAGCGGCCCGCGUCUGAUUAGCUAGUUGGUGAGGUAAUGGCUCACCAAGGCGACGAUCAGUAGCUGGUCUGAGAGGAUGACCAGCCACAUUGGGACUGAGACACGGCCCAAACUCCUACGGGAGGCAGCAGUGGGGAAUCUUGCGCAAUGGGCGAAAGCCUGACGCAGCCAUGCCGCGUGAAUGAUGAAGGUCUUAGGAUUGUAAAAUUCUUUCACCGGGGACGAUAAUGACGGUACCCGGAGAAGAAGCCCCGGCUAACUUCGUGCCAGCAGCCGCGGUAAUACGAAGGGGGCUAGCGUUGCUCGGAAUUACUGGGCGUAAAGGGCGCGUAGGCGGAUCGUUAAGUCAGAGGUGAAAUCCCGGAGCUCAACUUCGGAACUGCCUUUGAUACUGGCGAUCUUGAGUGUGAGAGAGGUAUGUGGAACUCCGAGUGUAGAGGUGAAAUUCGUAGAUAUUCGGAAGAACACCAGUGGCGAAGGCGACAUACUGGCUCAUUACUGACGCUGAGGCGCGAAAGCGUGGGGAGCAAACAGGAUUAGAUACCCUGGUAGUCCACGCCGUAAACGAUGGGUUGCUAGUUGUCGGGCUGCAUGCAGUUCGGUGACGCAGC
rnacentral:rRNA from 1 species